UUCGAUGCGCAUGAAGCGUAUUCGAAGAAGAGGAGGAAGAAGAAUCAAGCACUGAAUGAAGGUUACAUUCAGAAAGAAAGAAAUUAAACAAGCUGCUCCAUCGCUUGUCAAGAGAACGAGUGACCCUUCGAGUUCAUGACGUCGUGAUCAAGGGCAAUGCCAAGGCCAAGGAUUUUCUUAUCGAAGCUGAAGUUGAGGUACUCAAGAAUGCAACCUCCAUGCAAGAGCUCCUCCAAGCUGCUGGCAUUGUCAAUACAGGCCUUCAGAGGCUUGAAAUAUUCGAUUCCGUCACCAUUUCUCUUGACUUGGAACCCCCGAGCUACCCCAUACUGCUAAUAUCAUUGUCGAGGUCGUGGAGGCCAAAAAUCCCCUCAUUGGAUAUAUCGGAAUCUUUUCCAAGCCUGAGUUAGGUUGCAUCUUAUAGAAGGAAGAAAAGCUUAUCAUGGUGCCACACGUCCCCCAACAAAAAAGGGAAAACUGCCUUUUGCCAAAUACCAAGAAAAGAAGAGGAGAUUUGCUUUCUGCAGGUUUUUUUCUUACACAGAGAUCUCAUAUGAACAUAGUAGAAAACAAUCUUGCAAACUUUUGAAUGGACUCUACUGUUUGCUUGAUUUGAAUUAUAUCUCAGUCUGUAAAUCAUUGGGCCACUGAUGUUGAUUGAUCUUCCUUCACAAUAUUUUCUUCUUCUAAGGGACAUAUUUUUCUUUCACUUGUUAAACCAAGGAAAGCAGGUAAUGUACAUUUUGUGCUCCUCUAUUUCUGUAGUUCUUGGGAGAUGUGUAAACCUACGUGAAAUGUGCAUAGUCAUUCUCUGCUAAUUGCCCAAGUGUGCAUGUUUGAAUAACUGAGAAUCUGAUAUAGAGUCAUUGUUGUUUAAUUCUAGAUGUGAACAUCUAGUUUACAUACUAAUACUUAUAUUCGAUUAAAAUGCUACAGCGAAAUCUCGCCUUGCAGUCAUAUACAAGAUAUAGAUAUGCAUUUCAGCAUACAUGAGCAAACAUGUGGAUAUGUAUGCAGAUGUACAUAUUUGUGAAUGCAUAGAUAACCAUAUUAUACAAAUUUAUUAAAACAUACAUUAAUUCAUAUGGGUAGAAAUGGACCAUUCAAUUUUUUUAUGUUUAAGAACAUGGCGAAUUUUCUUGUAGAUUUCUCUUUCUAUUACAUUCUUUGGAUUUUAUACUUAAAAUGGUUAUAAAUAUAUUAUCAAAUUAUCUUCAUAUGGUUUUUGAAGUUGCAAACAUGCUUUUGUAGGCUAGGUCUUGGUCACUUGAAGGAUCACUCAAAUUGAAAAACUUGUUUGGGUAUGGGGACAUUUGGGAUGGUUCCUGGGCAUAUGGGUGGGACCAAACAUCAGAAGUUAAGUUCUGGCUUGUCCUUGCCCAGAUUCAAAGGAUUAAUAAUCCCUCUUGUGGCUUGCAUAUCUCUACUUUCCCAGGAUUGGUUGAAGUCCUCCUUUUACAAAGAUCCAUCAUUGGGCUUAUCUGUUGGUUUAAUUUCUUCUAGGCAUCAUGACCUGGUUUACAAUCUUACAUGGCAUACCUUAAGGAAUCACCUUCGACAUAGUCUACUCUCAUCCCUGAAAUACACUUUUAAACUUGAAAUGAGGGAUUGGCCAUUGAGGCCAACGAGAGGAUAUGCCUUGGUUUCUACUUUGGUAGUAUGUUUUUUUUUACUGUUAUUCUUUUUUGGUGCCCUUACUUAAGUAGGACAGAUCCCUGCUAAUCAAAAUUAGGGUAUGCGCAAAUAACUACUGUCUAGUUCUUCAUUACUGGAACUUUUCUUCCAUACUUGAUACUAUGCAUGGCAGGCUUCUGUUGUAAAAUCUGUUCUUUAUCUCUCUCUUUUUUUUUUUUUAAGGAUAGAUGGAAAUCAGAACAGCAAUAAACUAGUGUUCAAUCAAAGAAAAAGCAAAAAGAAAGUUGGAAAGACGAGUUCAGAUCAAUAGAUAAGAGAUAAAGGAAGAGAAUAGGGUUUUGGGAGAUAAUUGAACCUUCUAUCAGCCCCCUCUAAACUUCCUUUAUUAAUUCUAAUCAUAAUUAGGGAAUAAUUACAAUGAUGCCCAUAAUAGGGCAGCUGCACUAAAGGUACUUCAAACAACAAUUAAGGCCCAUAAUAACUUGGGUCCAUAAAUAUAAAAAGCAAACUAUAAAUAGAAGGACUAAGGCCAAGACCCAAUAGCUUAACAAGGACAACCUUUGUUUUUCAGAUAGGCCUUGUAAAUGUGCACAACUGUAGUGUACACUGUAAAUGCUUGCCUCUGGUAACUGAUAUUAACACUUUGAAUGCAUCUGUUUAUUUGAUGGAUCAAAGUGAUCUACAUCUAAUUAUCUGUAGUCCUGAACUGUUUCUUGGGUCUGAUGGGGGCAGUUCUUGAUGUUGUUUGGUAAAAUUCAUUUAGUGAAGUGGGAUUCAGUAGAACUUUAGUUUCUACAAGUUUUAAAUUGUUGAUCAGGCUAAUUGAAAGUUCAGUUAAGUUGGUGAUUGUGCAUAUUAUUAAGAGUAUCAUCUUAUAGAAGAAUCUUCUUCUUCAGAUUUUGUAGUCAGAUAAACUUUAAAGGGAUAAUUUAGAUGGGAUGAUAAUCAGAACAUCAAUGAGUGCAUGCAAUCUAGAUUUCCACAGACUUAUGUAAAGAUGUAACCAUAUGCUUAUCAUAUUACUUAAAAACUGCAAAUUUUUUAUUGCUUAACUGAUUCCUGGAGAAUAAUUUGAUCAUUUUCUUUUCUAUCAUAGUGCUAUAUUGGUAAUUUGCCAUAAAUAUUUCACAUAAAAUUUUGUUUGCUCAUCAUAGUAAAUUUUCUGAAUUUUAAAAUCACCCUAGUUUAUUUGUGUUUGCUAAAUUUUAGCAUUGUCUUGUUAUAAUAGUUUAUUUAGAUCAUAUAACUUUGGGUUAGAAAGUUAUUUUAUAUUUCUUAAAACUUCAAUAUUUGUUACCAUCUCAUAUACAUGCUUAAAAUUUCCCCCAUCAUUUUUUGGUAAAUUGUUUAUUGGAAUUUUAAUAUUAGAAUGAAUUCGUCUAAACAACCAUUAUUGUUUGCUUCAAUUCCUUUUCAUUACUAUUCUUCUUGUUAGAGAUUUACCACAAGUCUUCUGCAGUUUCAUUGAACUAAAUAGGAAGAGAAGUUUCAUUUCUAAAUACAUCUUAAUAGACUAAUAGUCACUGCAGGAUAUGAAGUGUCUUUGUAUUUCAAGUUCUUAAGAGUAUUUCAGGCAUUUCUUUUAAUUACCAAAACUUUGAAUUGAUUACUUUUAAGAAAACAUCACUUAUGGUUGUCAGUGGAGAGCUUUGAAAAAAAUGCACUUUUAUAAUGAUAGGAUUCAUAGUCAAAAAGUUGCUGUAUGAUAGAGAACAAAAGUUUUGCAGUCUUAGUGCUGCAUACAAUCUUGAGAGUUUUCUAAUUUCAUCUGUAUUUAGUUUGAGCUUGAUGUGAAAUCCUUAACUCAUGGUUUUUUCUAAAAGAAUAAAUAAGAAGAAAGAAAGCAUGGGAAAAUUUGGGGUGUUUUUUGGGAGCACAGAAGCAAUAUUGUCUUUCCAUUCUCAGAUCCACCAGCUGCAGGAAACUCUAUAAAAGCAGAGCUAUUUUCUGCCCUUCAUGGUAUGAGAAUUGCAAUUGUACCUGGUCUCUGUAACUUGAUUAGCAAAAAGGAUUCCAGAACUAUUAUCGGAUGGUGGAUGUGUGAAGAAUGGGACCGUGGAGUCUCAGACACCAAGUAAGGGAGGUUAGGUUCCUCGCUAUUUGUUUGCAGGUUGAGGUCUUAUGGAUCCCAAAGUCCGGCAGCUACAUUGUGGAUUCAUUGGCCUGUGGAGCAAAUAGAGAAAAUGUGAAGUGGGAUGGAUAUCCUUUAGAUUAAUAUGUAAUUUCUUGUCCUAUCAGGGGAUUAUGGUGGAGUAGCAUUGGGCUAGCUUCAACAAUAUAUGCUGUGGAUUAUGUAUAAUAUAUUGUUGUAUGUUAUUUCUGAUUUAUAUCUCAUCAAUAAAGUUUUCAAUUUACUAAUCAGAAAAAGAAAUAAAACAAGGGAAAAUGAAUUGGAAUCGGAUCAUUUUUCUAACCCUAACCCAUUGGAUUUGGAAUCUGAUAAAUCCAAGGUAGGUAUGGUGAAGUUUCAUAAAUAAAUAUAAUAGCCUCACUCAAAAAAGGGAAGAAAGCUGCACAGGAUUUGUAAACCUUCAUUUUCUUUUUCUUUUAUAAUAAUUUGAACAGGUAAUUUAUAGACUUCAUUAAAGAGGGGAUGAUAGAUUGCAGUGCCUAUCUCAAAUAUACACAAUUCUUUUUCCUUGUUAGAAAAUCAUCAAGAUCUGUGCCAUUCCACCUAAGUGGACUUGAUCGUAGAUCUCCAAUUCCUCCAUUAUAUUCUAUGGUCAUAUCUUCAGUUAAAGGAAAAAUAUGUGUUAGGUUCUUGUGAGAAUCCUAUAGCAGUCCUAAACUUGGUUAAAAUUGGGUCUCCUAGAGCAUAUUUCUUUGUGGUUCAAUCUGGAAGGCCAACUUUUCAGCCUAAACCUUUGGGGCUGUGGGUUUGACUACGCCAUUUUCUUCAAUUUCAAGAAAAGGCCCAAAGAUAACUGAUUUUAUGAGUAUUUAGUUCCAUAUUAGACAAUUCUCAAAAAUCUAGAUCUAUUAAGAUUGUCAGACUGGUUGACCAGAACACUGCACACUGCCAACCAAUUUAGCAAUUGACAGUCUAAAUUAGAAACCAGAUUGAACUGCUCUGAUGGAGUGGUCAUCUAAUGAAACAUGUGACUUUGGCCAAGUCAUUGCUAAUUUGCUACACAUAAUUGAGAACACUGCACACUUACCUCAUUUUAUAACCUAUUGGAGCUACUCCUAAGUUCCUACUGAUCCUAUGCUUUCUAGUUUUUCAACUCAUCCAUCCCAGCAUACACAUUUCUUCCAUACUCAUUUUUUGGACAUGUUGUUUCUUGAUUGCCUAACACUCUGCUCCAUAUAGCAUAGCUGGCCUUGCAACUAUUUUAUAGAACUUUCCUUUUAAUCUAAGUGAUAUUUUCCUAUCACAUAGAACUCUGGAUGCACCUCUCCAUUUUUCCCAUCCUGCUUUAUUAGGAGAGAUGAUAUAGUUGGUAUUUAGAAACAAGAAAGUUGAUAGACACGGGGGUGGUAGAGGGGGAGAGACAGGUUAAUUGCCAACUUGAAAGAUGAUCAACAACCUACACUUGUCAUAUUUCCAUGAGAAAGAGGGAGGUUUUGGUGCUAAAAGGAUACAUAAAAAAGAGGAGAUGUAAAUGUGUAUGAUUCCAUAAAAAUGUUUUCAUUGAAAAAAAGGCAUGAUCAGAAGUAUUGGUGGAUGAUGGAUAUCCUUUAGCAUCUAUUUCAAUACCUAAGUUUGUCUGCCAACGAGGGAGGCAUUGAAGAAGAUAUUGCCUUAAGAAUUCAGGUCUAUAUCUUAUUAAUGGAAGAAUAAGAUGCAGAAAAGCCAUAACAAAGUCAGAUUCCCUUCAGAAGAUCAUCAUCAUCAAAGUCAGAUUCCCUUUAGUAGAUCAUCAUCAUCAUCCAAGCCUUAGUUGGGAUAAGGCUUGGAUGCUGCUGCUGCUGAUGAUCUUCUGAAGGGAAUCUGACUUUGUGAUGGCUUUUCUGGAUGUAUAAUCAUGGGCAAUGGAGAUGCAUGGAAACUGUUAGAUCGAAUGCUUAACAACCCUGGAAGAAAAUUGGUUAGCAACUCCGCUAAUAAAAAUAAAGAUUAGAUGAAGAAUGAGAUGCUUCUUGGAUCACAUGAAUGGCUUUUAGGUUUAUUACCAAAAAAAAAAAAAAAGAAUGCUUUUAGGUUGCUCUUAAUGAGUUAUUUUGGAUGCUUAAGUGUUUAUUGUACUGGAUUAGUUGUCUUUUGGCUUACCUUGUCCAUUUACAAUGUACCAUUUCUUGGGAACUUCUCUUAAGGUUUUAUUUUACAUAUGUUUCUAUCGCUAAUUUGUUCCUUUAGGCUAAAUGAGCUGACAACAUAAAUGUUUUGAAAUUUAAUAUUGGUAUUGAUGAAUUUACCCUUUUCUAUGAUCCGUGACUUUUAGGCAUACCUUUUCUUUCCAACAUAUAGUAUUACUUGAUGAACUUGCUUUCCUUUCAUAUCUGAUAGGAGUUUGACCUUCAUUAUGCUUUCCCAUUGGGCUUUUACAAUGUAGCGCUUAACUUUGGAAUCUCUGCGAGUGUUAUUUUCCCAUGGGGAUGCGGAUUCAUGAACAUGCCUUCCCCUAUACCUGAGAGAUUCUUCUUAGGUGGUCAUUCUUCUCCUAUCUGCGCCUUAGGGGGGCCAACAACAUUGUCGGGGUUCAAGUGUAGAGGACUGGACUGAACCAAAAAAGCUGAUUGUUGACGAAUCUGACAAUGAAAGUUCAGGUUCAUCCCCAAGAUCUUGCUGUUACUGCCUUUGCUGACCUAUCUUUCAAUCUUCCACUGUGGAUGUUCAGAGAAGCUGGAAUCCAUGGACACCUAUUCAUGUGUGCUGGAAAUCUCACUAAAUUAACAGAAAAUGCAUUUCGAGAUUUCUCAUUUCAAAGUUUUGGAGAGUCUUUCUGUAGCACUGUAGGAGUUGGUGGUGUUGUCCCCACCAAGCUGUUCCGCAUGGAGGUAUAUAUUGUAAUCUACAUUUAGAUCCUUAUAUCCAAUUUAGCACAGCUGAAGUCGGGAACUGUCCUCGUGUACAUAUACUGCACAUGUGCUGCUAUUGAAGUAUGGGCUCAUGUCAUUCAUGGCCUUCCUUUCGCCUACAAUAUCUUGGGCUUGAACCACUCUUGGGAAUUUGUUAUAUUCUGGGUUUUCCCAAAAAAAGAAAGAAGAAAGGAAAAAGGAGAUUGGAUCAAUUUUGACCGAUCGGCAUCUUUGGAUCAUGAAGAUGAUAUUCCCUGGAUGUGUACCACCUUAUGAUAAGCAGGAAGAUGGAUUUCUUCCAAUUUUUUAAAAAUAUAUUUCUGUUAAUCACUCACCCCCCUUCAAAUGUUCUGACACACCUGAUUUUCUUUUCAGAUAAACUACUGUUACAUACUGAAACAAUUUGAACAUGACUGCGGGAAGACGGGAGUACAAUUUAAUCUUUCUUCUCCAUUCUACAAGCUGGACUUUUAAGAUUCCGUGCUUGGUGCAAAUCAUUCUUUCUUGAAUUGGCACAUCGAAUAUGUUAUUCUUGAUAAGUUUAGCUUCUUAUUCUCCAGUAUAUAUUUGUUAUUUAAUCACUUAUUCACCCAACUUGGGAUUGUAUACCAUAUUGUGAUCGCAUUAUUGGGAUUUCCACUA